UACGGGGGGGGCAAGCGUUGUUCGGAAUUACUGGGCGUAAAGGGCUCGUAGGUGGCCAACUAAGUCAGACGUGAAAUCCCUCAGCUUAACUGGGGAACUGCGUCUGAUACUGGAUGGCUUGAGUUUGGGAGAGGGAUGCGGAAUUCCAGGUGUAGCAGUGAAAUGCGUAGAUAUCUGGAGGAACACCGGUGGCGAAGGCGGCAUCCUGGACCAACACUGACACUGAGGAGCGAAAGCCAGGGGAGCAAACGGG
rnacentral:rRNA from 1 species